CUACAAUUAGGUGGUCAUUUUUUGAUUUUCCCAGUAGUUUUCAAUUAACUACUAUGAAAAACCAAACAAAUGUAAGUUUUUUAAAGUUAUUUUUUAGAGGAACUUUUACCGAACUGAUUGCCAUACCUAAUUGAUAAUAUCAAAUAAUAAGCAUAAUAUACAAAUAUAAUACUGGGUGCACUCCGAGAAGACACAGAAACAAACCAAAAACAAAUUCUACUUUUUUAGUUUGAAAAAAACUGAACAAAUAAAACAUACCUAUCUGUCUAUACUGAGAUGAUUAAAAAUUAAAAACAAUAUUUUAACAAAAUUCGAAUAUUUUUUCUUCUCUUAUCUACACACACUAAACGAGUUAGUUUUGAAAUAUUUUAAAACUCAUUUUCAAUGAUCAGAUAUUUAUUCAUUCACUGAAGUUCGAACAAUUCAAAUAAAUAAAAAUAUGAACAAAAAUUACAAUGUGAAAAAUAAGAAAAAAUUUUGAAGACUACAAAGAUUUAUUUAUGCUAGGUGCUGGGUACAUUAUUUUGCAACAAAAAAAAAAAAAAAAUAAAUAAAAGAUGUUAUAGGGUAAGGUGAUCUUUGCUAAUAAGGAAUGUACAAAGAGAAGAUAAACUUUUAAUAAACUUAUAAGAUAAUGAUGUUGGUUUAAAUGGAGAACUUUGAUCUAGUUUUAAAAUUUUUCUAAGAGAAUCCCGAAACGCUAUCUUACCUGUUGGUUAUUUUUAAAACACUGUCUUUAAACGUUCAGCAUUGUUUGCCAAAACAAAAACGUUCUGAUUUUUACUGACACUGCUCAGGACAUGACUUUGUUUUUAAAAAUUCGAACAACUUGUUGAAAAAAACACAAUUUUUUUAAAAAUUUUGUCACAAAAACACAGACUUUCUGUUUUGUUUUAAUUUUGUCAUCUUAGUGUGAACCCAGCAUAACAGUAACCAGUUACCGUAAAAACGGACAAAUUCUUAUUCAUGGAAUUUUUUUAAAUUUGUAAACCUGUUCUUAAUAAAACAUUUGCCCUUCUAAUUUAUUCUUACACUAAUAAAUUAGUGUGAUUAGAAGUUAAGUUAUUUUCAGUGGACAUACUAUUUUAUUUUUAUGUCUAGUGGGGAUGGUAAUAUCUACCGAUUUUCAUUAAAUGUCUUAUUUUUGUCACAAUUAUCAUAAUCUUAAUGUAAAAACUUAGAUUAAAUAAAUUACUUAUUGUUUAUAGUAGUCAGUAGGUAAGUAAUGUAGUACCUAUGAUAAACAUUUCCACAGUCUUAAACAAUGAAAAUUGUUUUCCAAAAAGUAUUAAAACCAUUAAUAAAAAUUAAAUAAUUUUGCAUUGAUGAAAUAUUUAAUUACAUGUUGCCACUUAGUUACUUUUCCAAUUAAAUGUCACUUUUUUUAUUUUGAAUUUGUCGUAUAUUUUUUCAAACUAUUUAUAUUAAUUUUUUCCAAGUAUUUUGAGAUUAAUUGUAAUUCAAGGAGUGAUUUAUUUUUUUUUUGCAUUUUUUUUUUCAAAGACUGAAAUAAAUUAUAUUGUAGUUGUCUAAGUUAACAGAUAUAUUUAAUCUUAAUUGUAACAUUAUUAUAAACACUGGUUGGUCAACCGAAUGUAAUCUGUAAUCUUUUUAGGUAUUUUUCACUAUAAUAAAUAUAUUUUGUUAACAUAUGUUACCAAGAAUUAAUAAUAAGUUUCUAUAGAAAUUUGCAUUUUUUAAUCCAUUUAUCUAUAUUUUCAAGUUAAAUAAUAAUUAGUAAUAAAUACUUCAUUUGAAAAUGAAAUAUAAAAUAAAAAUACAUGUACUUAAAAAAAAUAAAUACAUUUUUAGUAUAAAAGUUUUUAUACACAAAAGUAAAAAUGUAUUAUAAAAAAAAAACACAAAUAUAUUUUCAUUUAAUUUAAAGAGCUUUGGGGGAAAUAUUAAUGACCACAUAAUAUUAUAUACAUACUUUGAUUAUAGUAUUGCAUUCAAUUUUAUUAAGAGAUAUUUUUCUACCAAAUAUUAUUAAUAUCACAAGUGUGUAAGCAUUUUUGUUUUAAAUUAAAGCAUGCCAUUUUCUUAUACUAAAAAAAUGGAUAUGCUUGAUUUUUACACACAAUUUAAUAAAAAUGCCACAGCAGCAGUUACCAUAUUGAACAUUUAUUAAAAUUUAAGAAGUAAAUGGCUAUUUUCAAUACUAAAUAUAUAUUCUAAUUAUUAUGCCAUGUUUAAAAAUAAAAUUGUAUAAAAUAGCUCUUGUUUUUAAAAAUACAGUACUUAUGGUUUCGUGUAAAAUUAUCUCAAUAAUCGUCAAUAAUUUAAAACCUAAACUUUUAUUAUAAACGUGAUUAGAAGUACAAUAAUCAUACUUUAUAUUAUUAUGUCUUAUUGAAAUGUGUACCUAAUAAAAUUAAAAUAUUAUUCUAAUGUAAUAAAUCAAAUUAAUAUACUAAGAACAAAUUUACAACCAAAAUCAAUUUCUAACAAUUUAUAAAAUCAUUUAAAGGAUAUACUGAAGUUGAAAUAUUUAUGAUUGUUUUUUUUUCAAUUUUGACUGACUUCCAUAAAGUCGUUUGUACAUCAACAUUAGGGUGUUUCAGUUAUUUUUUUUUUUUACAGUAAUUGAUAUCUUUGGGACCCCUUUGAUUAAAAUCAAAAUAUUGUAAUCUAUUGUAAUCAGAAUUUAAAUCUAUUUAAUAUAUUUAUUUAUUUUUUAAUACUUUUGUAUACAAUUUCCAAUAACUACAGUUAUUGACACAGAAUUCAGUUAUUUAUUUCUUAAUUUUUGUUAUUGACAUUCUCUUUAAAUUGUUUAUUUACACUUUAAAAUUAUUUAUUUACAAUCCAUACGGUUGCAUUACUUGGGACCAUGGAUAUACGCCGCUUUUCCUAUUAAUGCACAUGCUUUUUUAAAAUUUGCUAAGUGUUACAAAUUAGAAAAAUAAUACAAUAACAAUUAUUUAAUAAGUAUAAUUAAAAAAUAUGCUAAUUAAUUCAAAAAACGACUGACACACUUCGCACGAUUGGUGGGCCACUGUUGUAGGUGAGAAGUUGAGAAGGUAUCCAGUAGGAUAUAGAAAGGAAAUUUAUGUAUUUAUCUGUAUGCAACGCUUAAAAAUUGCUAAUGAAAAACGAUUUUGAGCUGAAUUCGGUUAUACCUUCCAAGCAUUUCUGUUUGGUCUAAUAAUUUUAUUCACAGAGUACCUACAUACCUACCGAAUAAUAAUUAUGUAAAAAACUCGCAAAAUUAAAAUGUCUAAAAUGUUUUAAAAAUGUUAUUACGUCUACAAAAGGCAAAUAUAGGUUUUUGUUCAAAUUUAAAGUAUCUACAAAUAUUUAAAAUAUUAAAUUUCGUAUAUUUUUUCAUUUUUUCCCAUUUAUUAUGAAAACUUAAAAUUCUUGAUUAACAAGGAAAUUAAAAAAUGAUCUGUAUAAAGUACCACCCAGAUUUUUUCUUUCUAGUACUAAAGUACUAACUACUAAAUUUGAAAACUGGAACAAGAUUUCUAGUAGAGAAGCUGUUCACAGAAAAAAUAAAAAAAUAUUUACACAUAUAUAUAUAUGACAUAUAAUUAUUAAAUGGAAAAAAAAAACUAAGAAAGAAACGAUUAUGGCUCGUACCUAUAGUAAUUAUUAAUAAUAAUACAAUAAUUAAUAUUUGCUACUUAAAUGAUUUUAUUUGUUUUUAGGAAACUGUAACUUUCAUUGAAGAAACUCAACAACUUGAUGAGGAAACACAACUUGAUAAUGACAAUCAACAAAUAAUUACAGAUCAGUUCAAUUUAAAUGAACAUGAAGGAAAGGCACAUCUACUUCUCCAUUCCGAUUUAUUUUUUUGGAAUAUUUAAAGUAUUAUAUUGAUAACAGAGUCUCUGAUUUCAAAUGUUUCAUUCCUUCCUUUAUUGACCAGUAUUUUUUGUUUUUAGAGUCAAAUUGUAUUUUUGUGUUUGGUCAUUUCUGUUUACAACUUCCGGUUUUCAUCAUCGAAAAUAAUAACGUAUCAAUAUAAAACACUACUAGAGUAAGGCAGAUGUAAUACAAGAGCAUGUAAUAUUAAAGUACUGCUCAUACAAUGACAUCUGUAAUAAUAAAGAUUCAGGCUAAAAAAAAUAAUGUAGCUUUGGCCUUUCUAAUUAUUUUUUGGAAUCAUUAAUUUUAAUCAGU
rnacentral:lncRNA from 1 species